GAUGAAGAACGCAGCGAAAUGCGAUAAGUAGUGUGAAUUGCAGAAUUCAGUGAAUCAUCGAAUCUUUGAACGCACAUUGCGCCCUUUGGUAUUCCAAAGGGCAUGCCUGUUCGAGCGUCAUUUGUACCCUCAAGCUUUGCUUGGUGUUGGGCGUCUUGUCUCUAGCUUUACUGGAGACUCGCCUUGAAGUAAUUGGCAGCCGGCCUACUGGUUUCGGAGCGCAGCACAAGUCGCACUCUCUAUCAGCAAAGGUCUAGCAUCCAUUAAGCCUUUUUUUCAACUUUUGACCUCGGAUCAGGUAGGGAUACCCGCUGAACUUAAGCAUAUCAAUAAGCGGAGGA
rnacentral:misc_RNA from 1 species